GGGUGAUUAGCUCAGCUGGGAGAGCACCUCCCUUACAAGGAGGGGGUCGGCGGUUCGAUCCCGUCAUCGUCUG
rnacentral:tRNA from 1 species